AAAUUGAAGAGUUUGAUCAUGGCUCAGAUUGAACGCUGGCGGCAGGCCUAACACAUGCAAGUCGGACGGUAGCACAGAGGAGCUUGCUCCUCGGGUGACGAGUGGCGGACGGGUGAGUAAUGUCUGGGAAACUGCCCGAUGGAGGGGGAUAACUACUGGAAACGGUAGCUAAUACCGCAUAACGUCGCAAGACCAAAGUGGGGGACCUUCGGGCCUCACACCAUCGGAUGUGCCCAGAUGGGAUUAGCUUGUAGGCGGGGUAACGGCCCACCUAGGCGACGAUCCCUAGCUGGUCUGAGAGGAUGACCAGCCACACUGGAACUGAGACACGGUCCAGACUCCUACGGGAGGCAGCAGUGGGGAAUAUUGCACAAUGG
rnacentral:rRNA from 1 species